CAGUGUACAUUGAACGUUACCGAUAUUACAAUACGUCACUUGAGUUAUAACCAACCCAACACACAACUAACAUUGUUUAACAUGAAGAAGGGGUUGUUUACAUGAAUGAGUGCUUCAUAAUAUGUUUUAUGACAGAUGUUUCACACUUCAACUAUUACCUAUACUUUGGCCAACGAUUUUAAUCCUACAACUAAGAAAAGAAGCUAAUUCAACUAAUGCAAUCACAAUCAAAAUGGAAUCUUGGAUAUCUGCUGCCGGUGCUCAUAGUGGAUUAUCAUACUACUGCUUUUGGCUUCUCACUAUGUACCUUCAAUGAUAAAGUGGAUAUUAAUGACAGCAAGUGCGUGUAUACUUUACUUCAGCAAAAUCAUUCACGAAAUACUUAUAGGCCAAAUUUUACAUGCUACAACAACUAUCAGUUUUAAUAAUCACAGAAUAUACGACACCUAAAUAUAGAGGAGUUUUUACGACGAUUAAAAAUGCUACAUUCUUUUGCAUUGGGCAACAAAUACAUUAGGAACUUUCUUCUAUUGGAAAGUGAUUUUUAUACCGAUUUUUCUGUGCUGUGCUAUAACUAUGACGAUGGCAUUCUGGCCGGAAUCACCAUACUGGUAAGCAAGAAAAGGCUCUUUGUUGUAACUAUACUUAAUAAAAAUAAGAAAUUUUAAUGUGGUCCAUUUGUAUUAACAUUGUUUUUGUAUUUAACACUGGCUCAAACCAGAAUAUGCAUUAUGGUUUUAUCUCGUACAUCCAUUAUUGAGUGUAUUGAUUCAAUCAGAGUCUAAUAUUUGCGAUCAAUCGAGUCUGUAAUUUUGAAACAAAAUACCUCUUAUUCUAUCAAAAGCAAUGCAUUCCAAAGUGGCAAUCAGAAGCAAUAACACGAACAAAUCCCGUGGGAAAUAAUACAAUUCCAAUCUACUUUCAAUUGGCUGAAACCUCGCGAGGGGAUCUAUUAAUUUUAAGUAGUAAGAAAAAACGUAUCGAACCAGAGGAAAUAUUACAUUUUCAACGUUUUAUUUGCUAAAA